rnacentral:rRNA from 1 species
UACGUAGGGUGCAAGCGUUAAUCGGAAUUAGCUGGGCGUAAGCGUGCGCAGGCGGUUAUGCAAGACAGAAUCGGUGAAAUCCCCGGGCGUCCAACCUGGGAACUGCAUUUGUGACUGCAUGGCUAGAGUACGGUAGAGGGGGGAUGGGAAUUCCGCGUGUAGCAGUGAAAUGCGUAGAUAUGCGGAGGAACACCGAUGGCGAAGGC